UACGUAGGGUGCAGGCGUUAAUCGGAAUUACUGGGCGUAAAGCGUGCGCAGGCGGUUUGCUAAGACAGGUGUGAAAUCCCCGGGCUUAACCUGGGAACUGCGCUUGUAACUGGCAAGCUAGAGUGUGGCAGAGGGGGGUGGAAUUCCAGGUGUAGCAGUGAAAUGCGUAGAGAUGCGGAGGAACACCGAUGGCGAAGGCAGCCCCCUGGGCCAAUACUGACGCUCAGGCACGAAAGCGUGGGGAGCAAACAGG
rnacentral:rRNA from 1 species